rnacentral:piRNA from 1 species
ACCUCUGGACGCUGUUUGAGACC